rnacentral:rRNA from 1 species
UGCCAGCCGCCGCGGUAAUACGGAGGGUCCAAGCGUUAUCCGGAAUCAUUGGGUUUAAAGGGUGCGCAGGCGGUUUAUUAAGUCAGUGGUGAAAUCUCGGGGCUCAACCCCGAAACUGCCAUUGAUACUGAUAAACUUGAGUUCAGUUGGAGUAGGCGGAAUGUGUAGUGUAGCGGUGAAAUGCUUAGAUAUUCGGAGGAACACCAGUGGCGAAGGCGGCUUUCUGGACCGAUACUGACGCUGAGACGCGAAAGCGUGGGGAGCAAACAGGAUUAGAUA